rnacentral:lncRNA from 1 species
CUUAAUGCUGUUUGAUGCUGCCUCUCAUGUAACCAGAUAUGUGUGACAGUUGCCGUAGAAGUAUUAAAGUGUGAGUGUUAUUGUAGUUCAGGGAAAGCCGUGUCACAUCCACAUGGGAUGAUCAUUGGCAUGGUGCCCUUGCUUUUUGGAGGUGAAACUUGAAGUAAGCCUUGAAGUUGAAUAGAUUCUCCUAGGCGGAGACACAACAGGGUAUUAUGGACGGAGGGCAUAACAGGAGCGAGAAGCUCAAAGAGUGAAAGAUUGGUGUUGAUUUGUAUAUGUACCAGAGAUGUAAACAUGUUGGGAGUCCAGUGGUGGACUCACUGCACAGUGCUCCUGUGUCUAACUACAGCCAAAUUUUGACAACAUUGUUAUUAAUCCAAAUAGGGAGUUCUCUGUUCUCUGGAUGUAAGAGCUUGUAACCAUUGUCUGCAAACUUGCCUGAAACAGGCUACACAGUAAAUAUUUUAGGCUUAGAACUGCUGUCCCCAGUCUUUUUGGCACCAGGAACCGGUUUUGGUUUUGUGGAAGACAAUUUUUCCACAGAUGCAGGGACGGGGGAGUGCUAGCGGGGUAUAGUUUCCUAAUGAAACUGUUUCAUAAGGAGAGUGCAACCUAGAUCCCUCGCAUGUGCAGUUCACAAUAGGGUUUGUGCUCCUGUGCGAAUCUAAUACUGCAGCUCAUCUGACAGGAGGCGGAGCUCAGGCGAUAAUCCUUGCUAGCUCCUGCUGUGCUCCUAACAGGCCAAGGACCAGUACCAGGCGGUUGCCCAGGGGUUGGGGACCCCUGGCUUAGAGUAAAGGGGCAAGUGGUAAGAAGUGACCUCUGCGCAGUGGGCGGGGUCCUGAUUAUGGAAGGACCUUGCAGGCCAUGGUAGGAGUUUGGAUUUUACUGUGUUAUUGGUAGCAAAGGUAUACCAGGUGAUUUUAAUAAUGAAGUAAAGUGCAUAGAGUGUGGUGGUAGA